ACCUACUUGACUCAGCAGUUAGAGUAUCGCUUUCAUACGGCGAGAGUCAUUGGUUAAAAUCCAAUAGUAGGUA
rfam:Nicotiana sylvestris Nsyl_contig7180, whole genome shotgun sequence.